rnacentral:lncRNA from 1 species
UUCGAUUGUAUAUACAAAAUAUUAUUAUCGUGUUGAAAAGAUACUAAUACAGAUAUUAAAAAAUACUAAAAUUAUGUAGCUUUUUACAAUGAUAUAAUUAUAUAUAAAGCUACUUCUGUACUUAAAAAAAGUUACUAUUAUAGUUUAGAAAGUCUAUUGCAAUAGUUUUAUAAAGCUACUUCUAUAGUUUUGCCGUUCUUGAUUAACACGCGACUUUAUUUCAAAUAUUUCUUGGUUAGCCAAAUGAUCUAUCUCUUGGUUAAGAGAGGCUUCAAUAUCCAAAUCUGCAUGAGAUUUCUGCAAGAACAAAUGCACAACAAAAUAUUAGUAUUUGAAAUGAAAACUAAAAACAACAAUGAAAAUAAAAGCUACUCGGCCUUUUUGGCUCUUAGUGUCGAAAAUAUACUACCAAGUAAUUAAUAUAAAAACUACUCGACCUUUUUGGCUCAUAUAUAUAUUAGUCAUUCAUCAUUACAUCAUGUAUUUUAAAGCUUCAUAAAUCUAAUAACCAAGACAAUGCAUUAUGACAUACAAGAGAAUAGGUCAAUAUGCUUGCUAUUGAGAAUAGAAACUGUAAUACCCCGGAAUUUUUAGAUGCUAGUUUCUUUUAUUUUUAUUCGGUUGACUUUUUGGCUGACUUUUAAGAGGCUAAAAGUUGACUUUAUUUUUCGUAAGUUAUCUUCGAAAACUUCCUUCAUGAAAGUUGUAGAGUUUAUCGAUACGAGUUCGUAGACAUGUGGCACGCUUGAAACAGAGGUCGUAUGAAAAAGUUACGGUCAGAGGAAGUUAGUUUCCGAUUUUAGAAGGUAUAUAAAUAGAAAGUGGUGGGUUUUAUUUUUGGAAACCUAGCAGCCUCACUUUCUCUCUCCUCUCUCCCGACCUCCUCCCGCACUCAAACUUCUCUGGAUCGGUUCUCCUCCGUCCGGCCACCAUUUGGACCGCUGCUGGUCCCGUUCGACUCCUGCAGACAUCCUCUCCAUUUCUGGAGCAGUCCUGCUCGCCGCCUCGCCGUCUAGACGCCGCCACGAAGCGGCGGAGCUGCUGCGGUCUCACCGGAGUUCUUCUUGUUCCGGCCACCAAUCGGGACGCCGCCGGUCCCGUUAGACUCACACAGAUGCCCCCUUCAAUUCUAGGCUGGUGUGACACGGCGUAGAAAGCCAGAGACGGAGCUCUUGGCCGGAGAAGAGCACGGCUGUGUCACUGAUCGGAACCGCCGUUUGCGGCGGCGACGAGGGGCAACCCUAGGUGAGUUUUGGUCCUCUCCUCCUCCUGGUAGUGUCUAGGCAAAGAUUAAAGCAAGUUUUUGAGGUUUUGAGGCCGGUUUUGCAAGUUUGAGGUGUGAUUCCGGGUUAGGGUUCCAGGGCAGUUUCCGGCCGGUUCCGGCCAAAAUUGGUUGAAGCCUCAGGUAUGAAAGUUGCUCCCCUUGCUUCAAGCUUCAUCUUUGUUGUUGAGAGUUUUCUCUAAUUCGAAAGUUUUUGAUGGCGCGUGGGGCCCACUCGCCGCCGCCGCCUGUGGCGGCGCGUGGCAGCACGUCCGGUAGGGUUUGUGGCUUAGGCUGCUGUGUUUUGGCUAGCUCUUGUUGUGGUGAGCUUAUUGAGAUGUAGAUUUCCUAGGUUGUGCGCAAGGUAUACAUGAUAGGACUUUAAGUAUUUAGUAGGUUUGGUUGAGGGUUGAUUAGAAUUUGAGGAUUAGAGGCAACCAUUUUUGGGUCUCUAAGUUCGGCGACUUUGGAAAGUUGUCCUCUCUUGAACUAAGGGUUAGUUGAGGGUUUUGUGAUAACCUAUAGUAUUUUAGUUACUAAGGUUUUAAUUGUGUUUUUAGGUGAUUUAUGAGGUGGUGUUUUGGAUUGCUCUUGUUGUUGUGGAAAUUUCAGCGGGCUUAUAAGGUGAGUAACAUCUCACUAAGGUUCACUUUGUGACCUAUUUAUUUAUGGUUAUUUUGAUGAUUAUGAUUGGUGAAAAUGUUGAUGAUGAUGAGGAUGAUUUUUGUGUUGAUGAUGAUGAUAAUUAUUAUGAUGAUUUUAAAUUUAAAAAUUCUGUUUUUGGUUUGUUUUAAAAUAAUGAGCUUGAUCGCCAACGGCUCAUAGGUAAGCUAAAACAAGUUUUCCUUAUAUGAUUAUUUUAAGUUCCUUGUGAUCAUAAUUUUAUUGGUGAUUGAUAGAUUAUUUCUUGUGGAAAUAUCUAGAUUUAUUCAUAUAAUUAUAUCUAUGUGGAAGGAUAUAAUUUUAUGGUGUGCUCUUUGUGUUGUUGAUGAUGUUGAAUUAAAAAUAUGAUGAUGAUUUAAAUGUUAUGCUUUUAAAUAAUUGUGGUUGCUAUGAUAAUGAUUUUGAUGAUUGUGAUGAUGAUGAUGAUGUUAAUGAUGUUGAAUUAAAGUAUACGUUAUUCUUUGUUUUUAAAAAUAAAUGAGUUUGAUCGUCGACGGCUCAUAGGUAAGAUAAAACAAGUUAGAUAGUCAAACCGGGUUCCAAGCCUUUAAUCGGGUAAUUAGUUGCGGUUAUGAUGAUUCUACUCUUUUGUGAUUUGUUGUGUAGAUAGUCAAACUGGGUUCCAAGCCUUUAAUCGGGUGAUUAGUUACGGUUAUGACGCUAUUAUUAUUUUGUGAUGUGAUAUUGGACGGUCAAACCGGGUUCCAAGCCUUUGGCCGGGUGAUUGGUUACGGUUAGGAAUAGAGCUCUAGUUCGUCUGUCGGUGUAGGUCAUGGGAGGUACCUGAAGGUAUCUGGGACCCAUGGGUACAUAAAUUGUUGUUGUAGGUCAUGAGAGGUAUUUAUUAAUAUCUGGGACUCAUGGGUACAUGUGUUUGUUGUAGGUCAUGGGAGAUACCUUAUUGGUAUCUGAGACUCAUGGGUAUAUGUGUAUUUGUAAAAGUAUUGGUUAUGUGGUUUUAACAUUUUCUUAAUUGUUGUCAUUUAAUUCUUUAUUUGAAUAUCUCCUGAACUAUGCUUAAUGCAGGAGAUUCUUUAAUCGUAAUUGUAUGAUUUUUAGUGAAUUUCCUGAACUAUCCUUUUUGCAGGAUUCACUUAUGAUUUGGAUUGUUGUGGAUUGUUGUGUUUUCUUAUUUACUCACUUUUGAAUUUUAUUGUUUUGAGAUGAUUCCUGAACUAAGUUCUAAAGCAGGAAUUACCAGUUUUAUCUUAUGUGGUGUUGGAGAUGUUGAGUAAAUUUUGAGAAUUACUCACACGAGCUUUUUAGCUUACCGGGUUUGUUGUUACAACCCGGUGCACCAAUUCAUGGUGUAGGGGUUAGACUUGUAGGUGAUGAUCAGCAGGGUUGAGGCAGAAGCAUAGUAGCUGGGUAUUAGAUGAAGUACAUUUUAUUGUAUAAUUUUCAGUUUGUUUUUAGGCGCAUUUGAGCGUCCUUAUUUUUCUAGACUUUUGAAGUUAAUGUAAUUAAGGAGAUGUAAUGUAUAACUCAGUGAUGAGUUUUGUUGAUAUUUAUAUUUCCAGCUUUUGGGUUUAGUUUGGGAUUGUUGAGCAGGUAUUGGAGUCUUAUUUUUGAGUUAUAUCAUGCCCAAAUUUUUGAAAUUUAUCCUUCGAAAAUUAGGGUGUGACAGAAACUGAUUGAAGCAUUUGAUCGAACAGGUGGUGGACAUCUAAUUAAUCAUGUCAUAUCUAAACUCAUGAGAAUUUGUCACAUCUUCACAUCCAAAAUUAAUCAAUCGACAGUCAAAACGAAAUGUAUUCUCAAAGGUCUAGGUGUAGGAGAAGAACGUCUCCUAUCCCUCCACCAUAAUCAAAUCGGCGGUCAAUUCCUACCAUCUCAUAUUUGUUUUGACAUUUUCGUGGAAGACUCCGCUAGAGUGGCAGUGUUCGACGGCGGAGAUCAGCUGCUGGACGUACCGCCGAGCAGUGGCGGAUCUAGGAUCCAAGAGUUGUCUAGGCUAUUUUUACAAGGGCAUAGAAUUUUUUUUGUUUUUGGGUUUCGAACCUCUCAGGGAAGGGGAAACUAAGUAAAACGUAUCUUACAAGAUCUGCUCACUUCAAACUCAUCAAUCACAGAUUUAUUAUCAAUGUUAUCGACAAUUUUUUACGAUAUAGAGAAUCAUCAUAUCAUCAAGAAACUUUGGAUAUCUUGUGUGGACUUGACUCAUGAUCUGUUUCUAUUUAAGCCUUAUAUUUUCAUUGAUUAUCAUGUUUGAAUUUCUUUAUGGACAAAUAAAUAUGCAGAGCUUUAAAAACUCAAGAUUUCAAAGGAUAUAUUUACAAGACUACAAGGUAGCGAACUAAUCUCUUAUUAGAUUUAGAAGACUAUCAUGCCCAAAGAUGGGGAACUAAAUGUUUCUUCUCACUCUUGUUUAGGUUAUGGGAUGUAAAUAUAUAUACCUAUAUAUACUUGAGGGUUUUUGGCCAAAAAAACUAUCUAGGCUUGAGCCUAUAUAGCCCUUCAUGUGUAUCCGCCCAUGCCGCCAAGGUGCCGCCGUUGACGACGGAGACUCGGAGAGACUAGGGGAGGGUGUCUCAGAGAGCUCCACCUCGAACUUCGAUCUAUACUCCUUGAUGAGGAAAACGAGAAUAGAAGAUCAAACCUUGCUGCCAAGUGCCGACAACGACGAUGGAAGGGAUGGAGUCCUAGAGAGCUCUGCCAUGAUCUUCGAUCUAAGAUCCUUGACGAGCACCACACGCUCCUCGACUUUCAGCUCCGAUUUCUGAUGAGGUAACUAUCUACAGCGAUGGUGUGCCCCAUGGAUGGAGGGUUCCGGCGAUGUAAGGCUAGGGUUCCGGCGAGAUCUGGUUGGUCAUGGAGAGAGAGAGAGAGAGAGAGAGAGAGAGAGAGAGAGAGAGAGAGAGNNNNNNNNNNNNNNNNNNNNAGAGAGAGAGAGAGUUUUUUUUUAAUGGAGAGAGAAACAGAUUUGUAGCCUUGUAAGGAAAGGAGGAUGUUGAAGGUAUAUUAUAAAAAUAAAAUGAUAGAUUUAGCCUUGUAAGUGGACUUGUAUAGGUAAAAAUGUUUGGGUGGACUUAUGAAGAAGGGGACUUCUAUGAAAUUUUCUAUAAUCUAUUUUGAUAAGUGAGUCCUAUGUUUUUUGGUUCACUUUGUGAUGUUAGGUGAGCGAGAAAAGUGUAAUGGGUACUACCUUACGAUUUUAUUUGUCUUUUAUAUGCAAAGCAGUAGAUCGAUUCAUGAUGUACAUAUAUUUCGAUGGAAUGAAGAUCCAUUUAAUUCAAAAAAAAAAAGUGUGGAAACCAGAUUUGAGCUAUUUACAUUAAAAACAGGUUUAUACGCAAAGCAGUAGAUCGAUUCAUGAUGUACAUAUAUUUCGAUGGAAUGAAGAUUC